rfam:Metarhizium acridum CQMa 102 unplaced genomic scaffold Scf_034, whole genome shotgun sequence.
CUCUAUGAUGAGGUAAUUUGCGAUUGAUUCUAUUCGGUGGCUCUCUUCGCCAGAGUGGCUAUACUGUUUAGACAAAUGAUAUUCAAUUCUUACAUAUUCUGAAU